UACGUAGGGAGCAAGCGUUGUCCGGAAUCAUUGGGCGUAAAGCGCGCGUAGGUGGCUUCGUAAGUCCGCUGUGAAAGUCAAAGGCUCAACCUUUGAAAGCCGGUGGAUACUGUGAAGCUAGAGUACGGAAGAGGCGAGUGGAAUUCCUGGUGUAGCGGUGGAAUGCGCAGAUAUCAGGAGGAACACCAAUAGCGAAGGCAGCUCGCUGGGACGUACUGACACUGAGGCGCGGAAAGCGUGGGGAGCGAACAGG
rnacentral:rRNA from 1 species